GUAGGCAUAGUUUAAACCAAAACAUCAGACCGUGAACCUGAUAAUAGAAGCUUAUCCC
rnacentral:tRNA from 1 species